rnacentral:misc_RNA from 1 species
GAUGAAGAACGCAGCGAAAUGCGAUAAGUAGUGUGAAUUGCAGAAUUCAGCGAAUCAUCGAAUCUUUGAACGCACAUUGCGCCCUUCGGUUAUUCCUUAGGGCAUGCCUGUUCGAGCGUCAUUUCAACCUUCAAGCCUGGCUUGGUGUUGGGCGCUGUCCCGCCUCCGCGCGCGGACUCGCCCCAAAUGAAUUGGCAGUCGCACCCUCCGAGCCGCGAGCGCAGCACAAGUCGCGCGUGCGGAACUCUGGGGGGACGGACGCUCCACAAGACCCUUUCUCAGUCUUGACCUCGGAUCAGGUAGGGAUACCCGCUGAACUUAAGCAUAUCAAUAAGCGGAGGA